UACGGAGGGUGCGAGCGUUGUCCGGAAUCACUGGGCGUAAAGGGCGCGUAGGUGGCCUGUGGAAGUCUGCGGUGAAAGCCCGGCGCUCAACGCCGGGUCGGCCGUGGAUACUCUCGGGCUCGAGCUUACUAGAGGCAGAUGGAAUUCCGGGUGUAGCGGUGGAAUGCGUAGAGAUCCGGAAGAACACCGGUGGCGAAGGCGGUCUGCUGGGGUAAUGCUGACACUGAUGCGCGACAGCGUGGGGAGCAAACGGG
rnacentral:rRNA from 1 species